ensembl:lncRNA SNHG17 small nucleolar RNA host gene 17
GAGUAGCUGGGGUUACAGGUGCAUGCCACCACGCCUGGAUAAUUUUUUGUAUUUCUAGUAGAGAUGGGGUUUCACCAUGUUGGUCAGUCUGGUCUUGAACUCCUGACCUCAAGUGAUCCACCCACCUCGGCCCCCCAAAGUACUGGGAUUACAGGUGUGAGCCACCGCGCCUGGCCAAGGGUCUUCUUUUUAAGGGUGAAUAAUGUUUUGUUGUGUGUGCGUGUGUGUGUGUGCGUAUGCCACAUUUUCUUUUUCCAUUCAUCUGUUGAUGGAGACUUAGAUUGUUUCCGUAUCUUGGCGAUUGGGAGUAAUGCCGCAGUGAAUAUUGGAGUGCAGAUGUCUUUAUGAGGUGUGAUUUGAUCUCCAUUGAGUAUGUGUCCAGAAGAGGGAUAGCUGGGUCUAUGUAAUGUAUACUGAUAAGCAGCACAGAGUGGGCACAUAGGAUAGCAUAGAUGCCAUUUUUCUCACAGAUAGUUUGCCGACCUCUUCCUAGAGUUACGUUUUUCUUGUUCCUGAGACAAUAAUGUGGCUGUAAGUACUAAUAGAGACAGUGGCAUUUGUGGGUUGCUUAUGAUCUGCCAGCCCCUGCGUUAAGUGUUCUCUGUGUCUGUUUCAGAUGGGUCUGCUGUGUGCAGAGGCUCCAUGGGAUGUGUUGUCUUCAUAGUAGCAGGGCGCUGGACCAUGGGUCCGCAAGGUGGGAUUUUUGGACUGUUGUCUGGAAUAUGUUUCUUUGCAUCCUGCAGAGUCAUGUGCUGUUCCUGGGGCUUGGAUGAUGUAGGGGAAGCAAGGUGAAAGUGGUAUCCCGUGGUUCCACGUUCUGUCCUGCUGUGGGGCUGUCCCUCACAUGCUUUCAGUGGCUGUUGCAGAGGAAGAGCCUCCGGAAAUCUGCGUCUCAGCCUUAGAUCCAAGGACAGUCCAAGGAAGUCCUAAGACCAUGGAGUUGGUGAUCUGGGAUCUGGGUUUGCUGAUAUUUCUCACCGUGAAUCUCUUGGUGGUGUUUGUGGGCACGAGAGGGGCAGAGAAUGGAGAGUGAGGCUACCACAUGAAGCGUCACCAGAGCUGCUCCCUGCUGCCUGCUCAGAGCACCCCGGAUCCACUGUUCAAUCUGCACAAGAUUCGGGGUCCAGACAUGGGAGACUUCAGCUGCCUCAGAGGACCGUGGACAGGGAAGGCCAGCCUCGCAUCCCUCUGUCCAUGCCUGGAAUGACUUUAAUAACCAAGAGUUUUAUUUUUGAAUUUGUAGCUGUCGUUCACUUUUUACCCACCCAUUCAAUAAACCUUACAGAAUUGC